GAUGAACGCUAGCGAUAGGCUUAACACAUGCAAGUCGAGGGGCAGCAUGGUCUUAGCUUGCUAAGACUGAUGGCGACCGGCGCACGGGUGCGUAACGCGUAUGCAACUUGCCUCACAGAGGGGGAUAACCCGUCGAAAGACGGACUAAUACCGCGUACACUUGGGAUAGGGCAUCCUGACCCAAGGAAAUGAAAUUCGCUGUGAGAUAGGCAUGCGUCCCAUUAGCUAGUUGGUGAGGUAACGGCUCACCAAGGCGACGAUGGGUAGGGGAACUGAGAGGUUGAGCCCCCACACUGGUACUGAGACACGGACCAGACUCCUACGGGAGGCAGCAGUGAGGAAGAUUGGUCAAGGGGCGAGAGCCUGAACCAGCCAAGUCGCGUGAAGGAUGACUGUCUUAUGGAUGGUAAACUUCUUUUAGACGGGAAUAACAAGAGCCACGUGUGGCUCCCUGCAUGUACCGUAUGAAUAAGCAUCGGCUAACUCCGUG
rnacentral:rRNA from 1 species